UCGAGCGGAUGAAGGGAGCUUGCUCCUGGAUUCAGCGGCGGACGGGUGAGUAAUGCCUAGGAAUCUGCCUGGUAGUGGGGGAUAACGUCCGGAAACGGGCGCUAAUACCGCAUACGUCCUGAGGGAGAAAGUGGGGGAUCUUCGGACCUCACGCUAUCAGAUGAGCCUAGGUCGGAUUAGCUAGUUGGUGGGGUAAAGGCCUACCAAGGCGACGAUCCGUAACUGGUCUGAGAGGAUGAUCAGUCACACUGGAACUGAGACACGGUCCAGACUCCUACGGGAGGCAGCAGUGGGGAAUAUUGGACAAUGGGCGAAAGCCUGAUCCAGCCAUGCCGCGUGUGUGAAGAAGGUCUUCGGAUUGUAAAGCACUUUAAGUUGGGAGGAAGGGCAGUAAGUUAAUACCUUGCUGU
rnacentral:rRNA from 1 species